rnacentral:lncRNA from 1 species
UGUCCAAAUAAACGUAUAUGGGUCAACACCAAAUCUAGUCCAUUAAAUAAGUUGGGCUACACCUUGACAAGACCCAAAUAAUUACAUCCUAACAGUCUCUUAUUUAUAAAGAAUUUAAAAUAAGAGAGUAUACAAAUUUAUCCCAACCAAAGAUCUGUAUUUGCCGAAGACUAACUAUCUCACCCAAACACCAUACACCGAACAUAUAACUAGACUUAUCACAACCGAAUGACGUUUGUCCGUUCGAGAGGAUCAUAGCCAUUUUUGAUGGACGUUUUGUCCAUUCGAGGGGAACAAAACCAUUUUCGAAGGACAUUUGUCCGUUCGGGGGGAGCAAAGUCUCUUCUGAAAGACGUUUUAUUACCCAAAUGUGAUAAAUGAUAUUGGUCAAGAUUGACGUUGCUGGGUGCAGGAGUGAUCAUUCGGUUAUAACCGAACCGAAUAAGCUAUUCGGUUAUAACCGAAAACCGAAUCAUUGAUAAUUCUACUAUCCGAAAUACUAACCGAAAUUUAAAAAUAACCGAAUUAUCGAAUACCGAUUUACCGAGUUGUAAUUUCGGAUAUUCGGGUAAUAACCGAACCAACAUCCAGCAUAAAUUAAUUUUUACUUGUUGGCGUGACCUCUGAUCUAUCUACUGCAGUGUAGAAGAGAACAGAGCAGAGGGAUUAGCACAAAAUGGAAAGGAAACCUCCUAAGGAAAAACCACCCAAUUAUUUUUUUUUGCUAAGUUUAACCCCACCCAUAUAUUGCUAUCUAUUUAUCUAUCUAUGUGUCUACUUGUUGCUCUAGUUACUAUUUACUAGUAUUGCCCAUCUCUGUCUGUCUGGAAUUACAUGGAAUAGUAGAAUACUCUGCUUCACUUUCAGAUCCAUGGUUGUUAUAGUCAAUUUUGUGAGAUCGAGUAGUCGAGAGGCGGAGGCCGAAGAGAGCUAAUAAGACCUCGUCCAGUCGAAAAUCUUCCGCUACAAAGCCUUCGAGCCAAUAAGACCUCCUCAAUCGCCACCGUUUUGUCGGCGUCGACAUGAGGAUCCGCAUAGAUCUACGCCAUCCGACAUCCGCCAGAGCAACAGGAAAAGGAGAUUUGAGGAGGUGUGAGCAGAAGAAGAAGGAGAUCUGAGGAGGAGCCGAAGAUCUGAGGUGAUGACUGGUGGAAGCCGAAAAAGAAGGUGUGAGCACUAGCACUAGUGGAAGUCUAAGUCUGGGUCUGGGAUGACUCUGCUCUGUUUAAACUUUGUAUACCAUGGUCUGAUGAGUUAUAUUAAUAAAAUAAUAAUAUUAUUAUUUUUAAUUAAUAAAGUUCGGUUAUUCGGAUAUCCAAAUAACCUAUUUUUUAAAAUCAAAAUUGAAACCGAAUAGCAAGAAUUAAAUCGGAUAUAACUGAAAUAAUGAAAAAAACCGAAAUAAUUCAGUUAAAAAAAUUCGGUUCGGUUCGGUAAUUCGGUUUUAUCUGUUUUUUGCUCACUCCUAGACGGGUGGUUCCUUUUCUUGUCGAAGUCCGAUGGUGGUAUGGACUUAGCUAGGGGCAGCUGAAGCGAACUGCCGAAGUGCAUGACCAGUGCAAAUGUUUUGGCAUGAUGAUACUAUGUUGUUGUUGUACUGCAAACAAUUUUGCCCUUUUCAUCAUGCAUGACGCUUGCAUCAUCAUCUUUUCGUUGACAGACUCCAUUAAUAAUAUCACUUUUCUGUCAUGGG